AAGAAAUAUAAAGCACACAACAACAAAUUACUUCAGAACAUAACAGAUUGUACACCAGCAGUAUAAAACACACAACUACAAGUUACUUCAGAACAGAACACAUUGAACAUAAGAAAUAUAAAACACACAACAACAAAUUACUUAAGAACAUAACAGAUUGUACACCAGCAGUAAAAAAACACACAACAACAAGUUACUUCAGAACAGAACACAUUGAACAUAAGAAAUAUAAAACACACAACAACAAAUUACUUCAGAACAUAACAAAUUGUACACCAGCAGUAAAAACAUACAACUGCAAGUUACUUCAGAACAUAACAAAUUGUACAUAAGAAAUAUAAAACACACAACUACAAGUUACUUCAGAACAGAACAAAUUGUACAUAAGAAAUAUAAAACACACAACAACAAAUUACUUCAGAACAUAACAGGUUGCACACCUGCAGUAUAAAACACAACUACAAGUUACUUCAGAACAUAACAGAUUGUACACCAGCAGUAUAAAACACACAACUUCAAGUUACUUCAGAACAGAACAAAUUGUACAUAUUAAGAAAUAUAAAGCACACAACAACUAAUUACUUCAGAACAUAACAGAUUGUACACCUGCAGUAUAAAGCACAAAACUACAAGUUACUUCAGAACAUAACAGAUUGUACACCAGCAGUAUAAAACACAUAACUAUAAGUUACAUCAGAACAUAACAGAUUGUACACCAGCAGUAUAAAACACAUAACUACAAGUUACAUCAGAACAUAACAAAUUGUACAUAAGCAGUAUGAAGCACAACAACAAAUUACUUCAGAACAUAACAAAUUGUACAUAAGCAGUAUAAAGCACAAAACUACAAAUUACUUCAGAAAAUAACAGAGUGUACACCAGCAGUAUAAAACACUCAACUACAAAUUACUUCA
rnacentral:lncRNA from 1 species